ACCUGAGCUGAAGGCAGAAGCUUAACCCACUGAGCCACCCAGUCCUGGAAAUCAGAAGUCCAAAAUGAAUUUCAGGGGGACUGAAAUCAAGAUGCCAGCCAGGCCCAUUCCUCCUGGAGGCUCCUAGGAGGAAUGUUUCCUUGUCUUCAGCUUCUAGUGUCUGCCUGCAUUCCUUGGCUUGUGUUCCAUUUUCAAAACAUGUCACUUCAGUGUCUGUUCUCACCCUCACCCCACCUUUUCCUCUGGAGUCAGUCUCCCUUGGCCUCCCUCCUUUAAGGACACUGGAGAUAAUGUUGGGUUCAUCCAAAUAAUGCAGGAUCACUUCUCCAUCUCAAGAUCCUCAAGUUUAUGACAUUGGUGAAGUCCUUGCCAUAUUAGAUGACGUUCACAGGUACCAGGGAUGGAGACAUGAAUAUCUUUGAGGGGACAUUUGUAGCCUGCCAUGCAUCCCUUUUUCCUUUUGACCAUGAAUAUUUAUGCAGAUUAUGUUAUCUUUGACUGUACUGCAAAAUCUCUUUGGGAGAGUUGCAAAUUGAAGGAGAAAAUUCCCUCCUACCCCCCCCCCCAUUUUCCUUCAAUUACCAAUAUCCAGGGAUAAAGAACUUCCAGCAUUUUGUGAUUUGUGAUUUUGUGAUUUGUAUCAAAAAUAAAAUUGUGGGGUUGUCAUUUCUACUCCCUUUGCAUUUCAAAAGAUAAUAAUACAUUAAAAAUCAGCACCACAUUUACAUGGUUUAAACAGAUCCAUAGCAGGUAUCUCUGUUCAAGUAUUAAAUCUGUGCAUAAGUGAGUGGUAAUAUUUUUAAAAAAAUGUAUUACACCCUACUCCCGCCCCAGGACUCCAGAGAGGUGCUUAUGCAUGUCUUUCGUUUUUGGAAGUUAGGUCUUAAAUUCCUCUGGAUUUUUCUCCCUGAUGGAGGAAAUGAUGAUGAAUUGAUGAACAGAGCAGUGAAAUGGAAUAAUUACUUGAAUGGCCGGUGGGAGGUUAAGUGUGGAACGCACCACAGCUCCCUGUUCUGCCCUGAUCUGGUGUAAGCUGGAGCUUACAUUCUGUUCAUGGACUCCCCCUCCCUCCUUUCCUGCCACCCCCGCUCCCUCUGUUCCCACCCUCCUCGGUGACCUGGGCCCAUUGGAUUGUGCUGAGGAGGAUUUUAUGCUUCUCAUGUGUCUGUUCUCUAGCUCACCUGGCUCAAGAGGAGAGGGGAGGAGGUGGUGGUAAUUGCUCAGGCACUGAGUACCAGGCACCGUACUAGGACAUUGACAGUGACCCCGUCCAGUGGCAGCUCUCCGUAUUUUAUGCAAGUGAAAGGAGGGAGCAGGAUGAACCACUGGGGUGGGGCUGACUCUUCUUCUGUCCCUCUGGGUGGCUGUUUGCUCCCACGAACUUCCUUUGAUGUAGGACAGCUUUUCUGCCUUCAUCCACCUCCGACCAUGGUGGUAGGACUGGCCCUCUUGGCAUUGAUUGGUUCACACACACGUUCUGUGCAGGACACUUAGCUAUAAAGGGGAACAGAGAAUAGGCCUGUUUCAUGGAGCUUCUGUUCUAGAAAGACAGACAUGAGCAGGGAACCAAGAAACUCAGGAUCACGAAUGCUCAGAAGUGUGCUGCGCGGAAAGGGGGAGGUGCUGGGAGAGAUGCCUGCUUAAAGCUGAAUUUGACAUUGGCCGAGUGGCGCCACCAGCCGUGUGUGUGGGAGCCCACGUGGUUUUACAUCCACAGCUCGCCUGGGACUUCAGUUCUGCCUUUCUGUUCAUGCAUUCUCUCUCCUCGGUUUAUUGCGAGUCCUUGGGGACAGAGGUGAUGCUUCGUCAUUGUCCCUCCAAAGCGGAGUGUGUUUUGUGACCGCAGGAUGAAAUGUUAAGUUCUUGCACCUUCUCCUGGCAUUCUCAUUUGAAGAGCUUUGUUCGAGGAUCAUCCUUCCCACAGUCCCUCACGUGAAAGUAAUCAGCAGUUCACUUUUCGGUUUUGCCAGUAUAUGACUGUCUUGGUCGCGAAGAAGGGGACAAUGGAGGGAAAUGAGCAAUAACCUGAGCAAUUAAACUUGAAAAGGAAUUUGGGGGACGGAUAAUGGAGAACCUGCUACAUGAGGACCUAUGUCAGAUGCUUUGGGA